rnacentral:rRNA from 1 species
AAUAGAUACCCUGGUAGUCCACGCCGUAAACGAUGAGUGCUAAGUGUUAGAGGGUUUCCGCCCUUUAGUGCUGAAGUUAACGCAUUAAGCACUCCGCCUGGGGAGUACGGCCGCAAGGCUGAAACUCAAAGGAAUUGACGGGGGCCCGCACAAGCGGUGGAGCAUGUGGUUUAAUUCGAAGCAACGCGAAGAACCUUACCAGGUCUUGACAUCCUCUGACAACCCUAGAGAUAGGGCUUCUCCUUCGGGAGCAGAGUGACAGGUGGUGCAUGGUUGUCGUCAGCUCGUGUCGUGAGAUGUUGGGUUAAGUCCCGCAACGAGCGCAACCCUUGAUCUUAGUUGCCAUCAUUCAGUUGGGCACUCUAAGGUGACUGCCGGUGACAAACCGGAGGAAGGUGGGGAUGACGUCAAAUCAUCAUGCCCCUUAUGACCUGGGCUACACACGUGCUACAAUGGACGGUACAAAGAGCUGCAAGACCGCGAGGUGGAGCUAAUCUCAUAAAACCGUUCUCAGUUCGGA